rnacentral:rRNA from 1 species
AUUCCCGUUGAUCCUGCGGGAGAUCGCUGCUAUGGGGGUUCGUUAAGCCAUGCAAGUCAAGGGGCUCUUUUGAGCACCGGCGAACGGCUCAGUAACACGUCAAUAAUCUGCCCUUUGAUUCGGGAUAACCAUGGGAAACUGUGGCUAAUACUGGAUAGGGAAAGGAUACUGGAAGGUUCCUUUCUUCAAAGCUUUUGCGUCAAAGGAUGAGUUGGCGGCUGAUUAGCUUGUUGGUGAGGUAAAGGCUCACCAAGGCUAUGAUCAGUAGGGGGGAUGAGAGUCCACGCCUCGAGAAGGGCACUGAGAUAAGGGCCCUAGCCCUAAGGGGUGCAGCAGGCUAGAAUCCUUUACAAUGCGCGCAAGCGUGAUAGGGGGACCCCCAGUGCUCACCACAUGGUGGGCUUUUGCCAAAUGUAAAUAGUUUGGCGAAUAAGUGAUGGGCAAGACCGGUGCCAGCCGCCGCGGUAACACCGGCGUCACAAGUGGCGAUCGCAUUUACUGGGUCUAAAGCAUCCGUAGCCGACAAUGUAAGUCUUUUGUGAAAUCGCUGGGCUUAACCUAGCGACGUGCAUAAGAUACUGUACUGUUAGGGACCGGGAGGAGACAGAGGUAUUCCUUGGGAAGCGGUAAAAUGUUCUAAUCCUUGGAGGACCACCUGUGGCGAAGGCGUCUGUCUAGAACGGGUCUGACGGUGAGGGAUGAAAGCUGGGGGAGCGAACUGGAUUAGAUACCCAAGUAGUCCCAGCUGUAAACGCUGCCAACUAUGUGUUGCAUGUUCUUCGGGAACAUGCAGUGCCGUAGCGAAGGUGUUAAGUUGGCCACCUGGGAAGUACGGUCGCAAGGCUGAAACUUAAAGGAAUUGGCGGGGGCGCACUACAAGGGGUGCGGCGUGCGGUUUAAUUUAACUCCACACAGAGAAUCUCACCAGGAGCGACGGCAGGAUGAAGGUCAGAUUAAAGGUCUUACCUAACGAGCCGAGAGAUGGUGCAUGGCCGCCGUCAGUUCGUGCCGUAAGGUGUGCUGUUAAGUCAGUUAACGAACAAGAUCUGCAUCUACAUUUGCUAGCGAGUCCUUUUGGAUGAUCGUGCACACUGUAGAGACUGCCCGCGUAAGUGGGAGGAAGGUGUAGGCUACGGUAGGUCUGUAUGCCUCGAAUCUUCUGGGCUACACGCGCGCAACAAUGGCAGGGACAAUGGGCUGCAACCCCGAGAGGGGAAGCCAAUCCUCUAAACCCUGUCCUAGUUCAGAUUGAGGGCUGUAACUCGCCCUCAUGACGCCGGAAUCCCUAGUAAUCGCUUGUCAACAGCGAGCGGUGAAUAUGUCCCUGUGCCUUGCACACACCGCCCGUCAAACCAACCGAGCAGGGUCUAGGUGAGGUUUAAUCCUUAAGGUUAAAACGAACCUAGGUUCAGCAAGGUGGGUUAAGUCGUCACAAGGUAGCUGUAGGGGAACCUGCAGCUGGAUCACCUCCU